rnacentral:rRNA from 1 species
UACAGAGGGUGCGAGCGUUAAUCGGAAUUACUGGGCGUAAAGGGCGCGUAGGUGGUGUAAUAAGAUUGAUGUGAAAUCCCUGGGCUUAACCUAGGAAUGGCAUCGAAGACUGUUAUGCUAGAGUACUGAAGAGGGUAGUGGAAUUUCCGGUGUAGCGGUGAAAUGCGCAGAUAUCAGGAGGAACACCGGUGGCGAAGGCGGGUCUCUGGGCCGAUACUGACGCUGGAGGAGCGAAAGCGUGGGGAGCGAACAGG